AGCUCUCAUGCAGCCCACAGCCCAAAAAGCUAGUUUCACUCCUACCAUGCCCCACCAACAGCAGUAAGUUUAUUUCCAGGCAGCUGGUGGGUAGGGCUGAGAACUUGCCCCAGGCUACAAGCCUCCCAGCUGAGAACGCAAGCAAACUCAGUUCCUCCGUUGUCCCAUGGAGCCUGCAGCCGCAAUCCAGCUCCUUCAAAGAGUCUGUGGACCCUGCCUACUUUCCUAGAAUUAGCAGUUCACCAAGCACACUCAUGUAUAAGGGCUUGUUUUGAAUUGAUCUUGGCAGAAAUUCUAUGAGAGAAGUAAAAGCAUGAGAGGAAGAGGAACUGCAUCUCUUCCUUCAGUUUCAGCUUGAAUAAUAUCAGGAAGAUUCGUAUUGGUCUGAAUUGGGUCACGUACAUGAUGUACGGUAGCUGAGGGUGGGCUGACUCGUAUGAAGAAGGAGGUGGAGGAGAAGGGGAAGGUGAAGACAGUGCUGAUUAAAAGGGGGGAUAAUAAAACUAAUCAUGAAAACCAAGAAGGCAAGAGCAAACAUGUACCUCUGAAAAUACAAGAUAACUGCAUAAGUAAUGAGUUUCAGUGCAGAUCCAUAGCUACCCAUAAACUGCUGGGGCAAAAACCGCCUUGGAAAGCUCUGAACCUCAGAAAGGAUUCACAAAACAGUUGGCCGCCCCUGUGGGAAAAGACCCUGCAAGAUGCAAGCCUUCAGAAUCUGGGAUAUUAACCAGAAGACCUUCUACCUGAGGAACAACCAACUAGUUGCUGGAUACCUGCAAGGACAGAAUGUCUAUUUAGAAGAAAAGAUAGAUGUGGUACCCAUUGAGCCUCAUGCUCUGUUCUUGGGAAUCCAUGGAGGGAAGAUGUGCCUGUCCUGUGUCAAGACUGGUGAUGAGACCAGACUCCAGCUGGAGGCAGUUGACAUCACUGACCUGAGCAAGAACAAAAAGCAGGAUGAGCGUUUCACCUUCAUCCGCUCAGACAGCGGCCCCACCACCAGUUUUGAGUCUGCUGCCUGCCGGGGCUGGUUCCUCUGCACGGCGAUGGAAGCCGACCAGCCUGUCAGCCUCACCAAUAAGCCCAACGAAGACGUCAUGGUCACCAAGUUCUACUUCCAGGAGGAUGAGUAGUACUGCCCAGACCUGCCUGUUCCCAUCCUAGCAUGGCAAGGACUGCAGGAACUGCCAGUCCCCCUGCCCCAGAGUUCCUGGCUGAGGGGGCACUGAGGAGCGGCCACUGCAGGGUGGACCCUGAGAAGGAGUCACCAGAGUUCAGUCACAGGACUCUGCCUCCAGCCUCUUCAACUGACCAGCCUCCAUGCUGCUUCCAGAAUAGUCUUUCUAAAGUGUGAAUCAGAGCGCAGCAGCCCCUGUGCAAAGCCCUUCCGUAUCACCUCUGCGUCCAGGAUCAAACCCCAACCACCCGCCCGGCCUGGACUCCCUCUGCUCUCCUCCCUCACUCCACAUACCCAUGCCCCAGAUCCAUCAGGCCACUUGCUGACCCCCCACCAAGUGGCUCCCACACCCUGUUUUACAAACAAAUGCCAGUCCAUGAGGAAGGUUUUCUAAGGGUUUGUAGAAAAUGAAAAUUAAGGAUUUCAUGAUUUUUUUCAGUCCACAUGAAGGAGAGCCCUUCCUUUGGAGACGAUGUUCUUUCUGGGAGAGGCUGAGAGCUUAAAAUGUUCCUGCAUAUAUGAAAUGAUGGUAAAAGCACUGCUGCCCAGGCUCUGAGCUCCAUCUCCACUCCAGAUUUUUUACAGCUGCCCGCAGUACUUUACCUCCUAUCAACUCCAAAGGCUCUGAGCAAAUGUGGCUCCUAGGAGUUCUUUCCUCCUCUGCCGGAAAGAAUGAAUUGCUCCUCGACACUGUAGUGCUUCUGGCACUUGAAGACUUGUAUGAAAGAUGGCUGUGGCUCUGCCUGUCUUCACCACUAGGCUGGGAGCUCUGCAGAGCAGGGAGCAUGACUUGUGUGUGUCUGAGUUCCCUGCAGGGCCGAGUACCUAGCCUCACUCUUGGCAGGCACUCAGCGAAUGAGUGCUGUAUAUGUUAGGUGCAAAGUUCCCUACUUCCUGUGACCUCAGCUCUGUUUUACAAUAAAACCUUGGAAAUGCCUA